rnacentral:rRNA from 1 species
GAUGAACGCUGGCGGCGUGCCUAAUACAUGCGAGUCGAGCGAACGGACGAGAAGCUUGCUUCUCUGAUGUUAGCGGCGGACGGGUGAGUAACACGUGGAUAACCUACCUAUAAGACUGGGAUAACUUCGGGAAACCGGAGCUAAUACCGGAUAAUAUUUUGAACCGCAUGGUUCAAAAGUGAAAGACGGUCUUGCUGUCACUUAUAGAUGGAUCCGCGCUGCAUUAGCUAGUUGGUAAGGUAACGGCUUACCAAGGCAACGAUGCAUAGCCGACCUGAGAGGGUGAUCGGCCACACUGGAACUGAGACACGGUCCAGACUCCUACGGGAGGCAGCAGUAGGGAAUCUUCCGCAAUGGGCGAAAGCCUGACGGAGCAACGCCGCGUGAGUGAUGAAGGUCUUCGGAUCGUAAAACUCUGUUAUUAUGGAAGAACAUAUGUGUAAGUAACUGUGCACAUCUUGACGGUACCUAAUCAGAAAGCCACGGCUAACUACGUG